rnacentral:lncRNA from 1 species
GACAAGGAUAGGAUAGGACAAGUACCUGCCAAGGCAAACCAAAGGACAGGGUUGGACAAUGAUAGGUUAGAAUAGGAUAGGACAUGGACCUGAUAGGACAAGGACAGAACAAGACUAGGAGAGGAUAGGAUAGGACAAGGUCAGGAUAGGACAGGAAAGGACAAAUCCAAGGACAGGUCGGUAGAGGAUAGGACAAGGACAGGCUAGGACAAGGACAGGUUAGUAUAGGACAUGAAAAUGAUAGGACAAGGUAGGGACAGGUUAGGAGAGGACAGGACAAGGUCAGGAUAGGACAAACCCAAGGACUAGUUAGGAUAGGACAAGGUCAGGGAAAGGCUGGGACAGGACUAACCAAAGGACAGGAUAGGACAAGGUAAGGGAAAGGCUGGUACAGGACUAACCAAAGGACAGGAUAGGACAAGGUCAGGGAAAGGCUGGGACAGGACUAACCAAAGGACAGGACAGGAUAGGACAAGGUAAGGGAAAGGCUGGUACAGGACUAACCAAAGGACAGGACAAGGUCAGGGAAAGGC